UUUACACGAUCUUCUAAAAGAUUUCAGCGUUUUUCAACAUAUUAGGAGACAUUGCGCUGUUAUUGACUUAUAUUUUAGCUUUUUUUGUAUGUCAACUUUUAGUUGGCUUUAAGGUAAAUUAUUACUGUUUUUAAGGUGGGGUUUUAGGUGUUAAAUGUGUGUCCAAAAGUCCAUCGAAGCAAAACGUGUUUUUUUCUUCUCGUGUUCUACAGAAUAUUUUAUUUGACUUAUCCGUAGCGAAGAGCUAGCGUAACGUAUAACAUUAACGCCCACAUGUUUUCAUUACUAAUACGUACAACGAUAAAACGUUUAGACGAUAAUGAUGUAUGCUAUCUAACAAAACGGGAUAAACACGGAGCAACAUGGAUUUCCCGACUGCACCUGAACGCAGCAGCAGCAGCAGCGGUGUUGCUGAUGAUAAUCGCCCUCGACACUGAUGAGCAGCCUGGUCUUUUGUCACAGCCUGUGCUGUUACUGCUGCUCCAUAACUGGUUACGGAGCUGCAGCACCGACCGCUUCGUCUUCGAUUCGUCUUUUCCUCUUUUCCUUCUGCAGAUGCUUCGAGAAGCAGCAGCAGAAAAAGGAGGGGAAAUAAAAGCAGGUGCAUUUUCUACUGUAUAACUCAUUCUCCUCAAAGGGUUACACCGGGAGGCAGUGCGGCUCUCGUUUGUUGUCACUUCCGGCAAGAGCUGACCGUGAAUUAGCAGACCACAUACCCGGUGAAGAAGAAGAAGAAGAAGGAGACGAAGAAGGUGAAGAAGUUGCUCCGCAUCGAUGCUCCGAGCAGGCAGGAUGGAGGACUUCAUCACGGAGGACGAGGAGCCGUGGUACGACCAGCGGGACCUGGAGCAAGACCUGCACUUGGCCGCAGAGCUGGGUAAAACCCUCCUGGAACGGAACAAGGAGCUGGAGGACUCCCUUCAGCAGAUGUACAUUAACAAUGAGGAUCAAGUGCAGGAGAUAGAGUACCUCUCCAAACAGUUGGAGAUGCUGAGGGAGAUGAACGAGCAGCACGCCAAAGUGUACGAGCAGUUGGACGUGACCGCCCGAGAGCUGGAGAUCACCAACGAGAAACUGGUGCUGGAGAGCAAGGCCUCGCAGCAGAAAAUCGACAGGUUAACGGGCACCAUGGAGACGCUGCACGGUCAGGUGGACAGUCUGACCUGUCGGGUGGAGGAGCUGAGGACCCUGGAGGAGCUGAGGGUCCUCAGAGAAAAGAAGGAACGAAGGAAGACGGUUCACUCUUUUCCUUGUCUUAAAGAGCUCUGCACCGCACCCAGGUACGAGGACGGUUUCCUCCUGGCCAACCCAGGCAGUGUGGACCUGGCUGAGAAGCGGCCACUGGACGAAGAAAAUGAUCGCCUGAGAAACAUUGUCUCAUCUCUGCAUGUGGCCAUGUCUACAGAGCGAUCCAUGAGGGAGGGCGCCGAGCGUGAGUGUACGGCGGUGCUGGAGGAGUUUGAACGUCUGGAGCAACGUCUCCUUGGAGCGGAGGGCUGCCAGCUGCGCGUCCAGGAGCUGGAGGCGGAGCUUCAGGAGAUGCAGCAGCUGAGGAAGUCCAGGCUGUCCCUAUUGGUGGAUAUGGAGGAGGGUCUAGAGAAGCUGCUCAACAAUGGUCCUGAAACAGACACCCCGGAGGUGUACUCGGGGCAAGAAGAGGGUGGGGGAGGUGCUGCCGGAGAGGCAGGAGGUCCGGGGCAGCAGGGAGGACCCGUGAGGAAAAGCUGCAGCGACACGGCUCUGAACGCCAUCACGGCUCGUGAUGCUUCAGGCAGACGCCACGGCAGCUACGCCAUGCACGCCAACGGGGUGCGAAAACGAGGCAUGUCCAUCCUGAGCGAGGUGGACGAGCAGUACCACGCCCUGUUGGAGAAGUACGAGGAGCUGCUGGGAAAAUGUCGGCGUCACGAGGAGAGCCUGUGCCACGCGGGUGUACAGACCUCCCGGCCCGUCUCCAGAGACCCCUCCAUGAAGGAGUACAAUAUGGUCACUGCAGGUCCUUCCACAUCAUCAGGAGCUGCUGCUGCCUCGCCACCCACACCCCCGCAAACUCCCUCCACCCCAGAGGCUCUGGAGGGGAUCAGCAGGCAGGUGGAGCAGGUGGACAAACGUCUGAGCCAGAACACACCAGAGUACAAGGCGCUCUUCAAGGAGAUCUUCUCCCGUCUGCAGAAGACCAAGAGUGACGUAAAAUCCAGCAAAAGCAGAAAAACUCACAAAUGAGCUGGAGGACAAAACAGAAAAAGACGCGUGUCCAUUUCCCUUCACAUUUUUUUUUUUAAACUACUGUCUUCUGUGGUCACCAUUAACAGACCAGGAAUCCAAAGCUUGUUUGAAUUAAUUUAAGCUGCCAAAAGUUGAAGAUGUGUUGACAUGGAUGGAUGUUUUCCCCCCUGAAUGGCUGUAGAUGACAAAUAAUUAGAACUAAAGGUCUGUAAGAACAACCCAGUGUGAGAAAUACUCUGUAAGUAUGUCAUAGAGACGCCGUUUACUAACAGUGGAAAAUAAAUAAGCCAAAAAUAAAAUAGGUGGGAAGGACAAAUUGUUUACAUGUGAUUCUAAUAAAUUCUUUGAAAGCUAAAAAAAAAAAAGUCAGAUAAAUACAUUUGGCAACACAUUCUUAGGUCCCAACCUAGGUUGAAGUUUAUCUGUAAUUCUUUUUUUUUUUAUCUUACCCAUUUAUUACAUAUUCAUGGUCACAUAUUCACUUGUUGCUGUGUUGCAGGAGCGCUAACCACCCUCUGCUAAGUGACAAGGAAAGAAAAAAGAAAGAGUAAGGAGAACAUAACCCAAGGACACGUGGAGGCCUGGUGUGAACACUUUAAUGUGAACACAGGAUGUCACUAAACUGCAGGUAAUACAAGUAGCACAAAUGCCGAGUCUGACCCAGUCCUGGAAUGACAGCAAUCACUGAUGCCUGGGAAUGAGGCUGCAGAUACAGACGACAUUCAUUUACUCAUGGAGUGUAUAAUAAAA